rnacentral:rRNA from 1 species
CCUACGGGGGGCUGCAGUGAGGAAUAUUGGUCAAUGGGCGGAAGCCUGAACCAGCCAAGUCGCGUGAGGGAUGAAAGCGCUGUGCGUUGUAGACUUCUUUUGUCGGGGGAUAAAAGGCCCCACGUGUGCGGUUUUGUGUGUACCUUGUGAAUAAGCAUCGGCUAAUUCCGUGCCAGCAGCCGCGGUAAUACGGAGGAUGCGAGCGUUAUCCGGAUUUAUUGGGUUUAAAGGGAGCGCAGGCGGGUCCUUAAGUCAGCGGUAAAAUCGUGGGGCUCAACCGUACCGGGCCGUUGAAACUGGGGGACGUGAGUACGGGGAGGGCAUACGGAAUGCGUGGUGUAGCGGUGAAAUGCGUAGAUAUCACGAAGAACGCCGAUCGCGAAGGCAUGGUACCGGAGCAAGACUGACGCUGAGGCUCGAAAGCGCGGGGAUCGAACAGGAUUAGAUACCCUAGUAGUC